GUUCAGGGUUGGCAGAAGAAUUCUAUUUCUUUCUUCUUUUCCCUGAAAAACAGAACUCGAGUGGAGUCCCCCACCUUCUCCUUAUGCAUGAAGAGGAACAAGGAAGAACGAUCUUCCAUGACUGCCAGUAAAGCUCUUGGCCCCCCCUCCAGCUCUGCUCACCCAUCCAAGCUGACCUUGCCUGGUCAGUGUGUCACCUGGAAUCUCCACUACAAAUGCUGAGCGGUGAGGGGUACCAAGAGAUGCAUCCCUUCCUAAUGGAGAAACAAGCAAGAAGCUUGGCUAGUGAACUAGUUACCUAGGAACCUCCAGAUAGGUGUUAUAGCAUGUACUUGUACUCCAAUUCAACAAGUGUCUUUGAUCAUCUUGCAUACAGUCAACAGUGCGAGGUUCUCUGAUGAUCUCCCCUCCAAAAAAGAUGAAGAUGCUGUCCCUCCAUGUAAGAAGGAAACGAUGGCAGCCUCAAGGUCACAGGUCUGGAGGAAUCAACCUACACACUCCCCUGAGCACAGUCUACAUAAAUCAGCACUCUGAGAGCUGCCGCAAGACCCCGAAAAUAUGAAGGCAUGGUAUCUGUCAUUGUGGAAUGUCCAACUGACCCGAGAAGUCAAGGCCAGCAUCAAAUUACAGCGAACUCACAAUGCCGGGCAUGCAGAAGUGUUCAUGUGAGUGGCAUAGUUUACAACAGCUCGAGAAAUUCAGAGGAAAGGACCUGGAGUAGAUUGGGCAGGCUCCCUGGAUGUGGUGAGACUUAACAGGGUCUGGAAGCACAGGUAGGAGUUCUGGGAGGUGAUGCUAGAAAAGCAGUCUAAGCCUUCCUUCUCACUUGCUUAAUGAUUGCAAGGCAAUCAUUCUGAUUUUCCAGGCAAAUUUUACCUCAAGAGUAAAGACCUUGAGUUCUGGCAUGGGUUUUAUGUUCCACUGCUGAACUGCACAGCUAUCGAUCAAAGUCCAAGAACCCUGCAUCUUGUCACCAGUCAAGAGGGGACUGAAGCAGACCUGUGGUUCUCAAAAUUGAGCCUGCAUCAAAGGCAGCUGGAGGGCUGGGUGCAACGUGAAAUGCUGGGCCCACACAGAUUUUCUGAUUCAGGGCUGGGGCCUGCGAAUUUGCAUUUCUAACCAGUUCCCAGGUGAUGCUGACGUUGCUGGUCUGGGACCUCAUUUGGAGAACCACAGAAGGAGAGUAUGGCUACAUUAGGGCAAAUACAAAACCUCUUUUUGGAAAACAUGCAAAAUGCUCACCCACCCGAAGGCUGGUUCGGAGCUUCAACUCUUGGGGAAGCUGCACACCACGGCCCCUUCAUUUAUGACAUCACUUUACUAGAUGUUCAACAGCAGGACCUCAGGAAGUCUCAAAGACCUGGCUCCACUGAACAAAUAUUUCUUGAACAUCUGCCACAUACCAGGGGCUCUGCAGUGACAUCGCCUCACUGACAUUUUCAUCUCAUUUGGAUGGGUUGGAGUUAAAUGAUGCAAAAAUGCUUCUUUGAGUUGACCUAAAGGAAAGGAGGAGACAGACAGGGAUCAAAGAAGAGAUUUUAAACACACACACACACCAACACACCCUGAAGUGACCUAGCACAGGAAGGGGUGGAGACCAGAAAGAGGGACUGAAGAGAAAAAACAACCCACAGCAGACAACAGAUAAAUGACUUUGUGGUUAGGUCCAAAGCAUAGGAAUUGAAUCAAUUCUGGAACGUGGUAACCUCCUAGACCUGCUUGCUUCUCAUCUGGCACAUUUUUGACUAGCAUUUUCUUCAUUUUUAAAGCUGCUUAGCUGUCCUGGCACUUUCUGUGGCGUUUGGGAUUUUUCCAGAAUCUCCUCUUCAGUUUCUAUAGAACAGAUAUCCUUUCACCCACGGCACAUAAGUGUCCAUCUUCGCAAUGAAGACCAGAGCUAAUUUCUACCAGUAGGACUCCUUUUUUUUUUUAACCAGUGAAGCUGAAAUAUAAGUUCAGCCGCUGAAACCACCAGGGAAAUUUGAGACAGCAAAUGCAAUUAUCAACUCAGUUGAAAUGUAUUAUUAAUAAUAAUGCUUAGCUCUGUUGUAGCAUUUUCUGGCUUCAAAGCACCAACUAAUUAAUCCUUACCUCAGCAUGGUGAAGUAAUUAAGUAUUAUUAUCCCAUUUGACAGAGGGGGAAACUGAGGCACCCAGAAGCAAAGCACCUGGCCCAAGGCCACAGAAAGGAUACGCUCUCCGAAUCACGGGCCUUCUCUGACUUUUAAUUGUAUGCUGGAAAGGUCUCACGCCUGGGGAAAAAGAAGUUUCUAGAAGGAACCACACCUCCAGAAAAGGGAUUGAGGGAGGAAAGCCAGGCCUCUGCUUUCCAUAGCACCUUGCUACAAAUAAUCAGAAUUUUACUUUUCUGUAGUAUUUUCCUUCCUCAUUAAACUUUUUAAAAGCAUGCUGACUUGGGGGAAAUACUGAAGCAUUUUAAUGAUGUAUGAAAUAAAAAAAAUAAUAAAACCUUCUGCCCACCCAGAGAGAAUACAAGUCUGGGAUCGGACUCGGGCUUUCCUUUUUCGCUCUCGCUUGCAGCCGCUCCAUUUCGGUGCCAUGUAGCUCAGCUGCAGCCCGCAACGUUUUUUUAAAGGAAAGAAAAUGAACGUCGAAACUUAGCAGGCUCAGCCAAAAGAGUGGAACCCGGUCUUCACUGCCCUUUUGCAAAUCCCCUUCUCACUUCCAUUUCCCUGAACUUUUCUCAGAGCUCUCAGCCCCACCGCAACAGCUCAGCUGGCUUUUUCUUGUAUUUUGUCUAAUUUUCUCUCGUCUUCCCUUGGGUUUCCGAAUCUUUGCUUGAGCAGGAAAGGUGACUGGUUGGGUAUGAGUGUUGGCACUUUCUAAGUCUCCCUCUCUCCCAUACAGUUCCCGUGCUCGUUAAUUCAAGGACUGAGACACACUGAGAAGACCCAAGUGUUAUCAUGCGACAGAGGUGCACUGGUUCCUUUCGAGCCCAUCAUAAAGGCCUUCGUGGGCUCCUGGGGGCCUCUUUCUGCCCUGUCCUUCCAGGGGAGAGCGGGACGCUUCACCAGUGCCUUUUCUCUUCUUUCAGUGGCACACUGAUGACUGAUGGGGGGCGACUGGGGGGCUGCAGGUGAAAAGGAGUGGAGCGGCUCCCCGCGCCCCACCCCUGCGUGGUGGGAGACCCCCCUGCCCCUGCCCCAGAUCCUGCCUUGAUGCCACACUCCCAGCGUCACCUGGUCUUGCUGUGAAACCACAUCAGCACCACGUGUAGGUCUGUCCGCCAGUGUUUUGCUCUUCUCUGUGGGUUCAUGUGAAAUUUGUCUCAAGGAGCUUUUAAAUCCCUCACAUGGUUUAAAAGACAUAUAUAAACAUUUUUGAAAACAGACAAAGUUAAACUUUAGUUUAGUGAUUAGGGACACCCAUUUGGAUGAUAAAAACUGUAAAGAAAAGCUCAGAAAUGAUUACCAUACAAGCCAGAAUAAUGGUUACUUUUUAGGAUGUGGAAGGGGCUGUGGAAGGAGCUUGAGGAGGGCGUCCAGGGUGACCUGCAAAGUUCUCUUUUUUAACCCAGGUGUAGUUACAAGAGUGUUCACAUUUUAAAUCAUUUAUCACGAAGUUAUACAUUUUUAAGCAGUGUCCUAUACCUCUUCUAUAAGUUACAAUUUUUUUUAAGUUUAAAAAAGAAUGUAGGAUUAUAUGGACCUCCUUAACUAUGUGUGGGGUUAUGGUAGUGCCCCAUGAAAAUUGACGGGGUUUUUUUCCUUUGGUUUUAAUAAAAUUAUUUCUAUUUCCUCUACUUAA
rnacentral:lncRNA from 1 species